UACGGAGGAGGCAAGCGUUAUCCGGAAUUAUUGGCCGUAAAGCGUCCGUAGGUGGUUUGUCAAGUCAGUUGUUAAAGCGUGGAGCUUAACUCCAUAAGGGCAAUUGAAACUGACAGGCUAGAGUGCGAUAGGGGCAAGGGGAAUUCCCAGUGUAGCGGUGAAAUGCGUAGAUAUUGGGAAGAACAUCGGUGGCGAAAGCGCCUUGCUGGGUCUGCACUGACACUGAGGGACGAAAGCUAGGGGAGCGAAAGGG
rnacentral:rRNA from 1 species